rnacentral:tmRNA from 1 species
GGGGCUGAUUCUGGAUUCGACGGGAUUUGCGAAACCCAAGGUGCAUGCCGAGGGGCGGUUGGCCUCGUAAAAAGCCGCAAAAAAUAGUCGCAAACGACGAAAACUACGCUUUAGCAGCUUAAUAACCUGCUCUGAGCCCUCUCUCCCUAGCUUCCGCUCUUAAGACGGGGAUCAAAGAGAGGUCAAACCCAAAAGAGAUCGCGUGGAUGCCCUGCCUGGGGUUGAAGCGUUAAAUCUA